GAUGAACGCUGGCGGCGUGCUUAACACAUGCAAGUCGAACGAGGCACUUAACUUGAUUUUCUUCGGAAUUGAUUGUUCUGUGACUGAGUGGCGGACGGGUGAGUAACGCGUGGGUAACCUGCCUCACACAGGGGGGACAACAGCUGGAAACGACUGCUAAUACCGCAUAAUGUAUCGAGAGGGCAUCCUCUUGAUACCAAAGGAGCAAUCCGCUGAAAGAUGGGCUCAUAUCUGAUUAGUUAGUUGGUGAGGUAACGGCUCACCAAGACUGCGAUCAGUAGCCGGACUGAGAGGUUGAACGGCCACAUUGGGACUGAGAUACGGCCCAGACUCCUACGGGAGGCAGCAGUGGGGAAUAUUGGGCAAUGGGCGAAAGCCUGA
rnacentral:rRNA from 1 species